ensembl:lncRNA
CCCACCCCAGCCCCGGGAUUACAAGUCCUCUUGGUUCCCUGCUGAAUUAAUUCAUGGUGGGGGCUGUUGCUAACAGGGUUGAGUCAACCUCCGAGAGAUGGAGAGGUUUUCCUUAGAUACUUCUGUUUCGUUUGUUUGUUUCUUCCUUUAGACCGUGAAUUCCUUGAGGGCAGGGACCAUGCUCAGAUCCAAUUCCCAUCAUUCCUGUACCUGGGCCUGUAAGGAGUACUCGAUACAUGUUGGUGGAAUACAAAAUUCCACAGGCUUGGAGUCUGAAGCUCCAGCUUCUUGCUACAGAGCGUUAAUAGUUUUAAUGUGAACAGCAGCCUUGGCCUUGACUGUGGGGCACAGUCUCUGCCACGUGGAAAGGAGGGCGCCAGGCUGAGUCCCCACUCAGAUGCGGUGAGGGACAUGCUCCCACAGUCUGGGUGUUGGGUUGUAGGGGCAAUCCAGAGAUGAUUGGGACGCCCCUUAACCCUGUAAUUUACAUGAGAGGAAAAGAGACCCAUAGAGUCUGUGAUUUUCCUUUUUCUUUUUCCUCUCAAGGAUCCUGGUCAGAAACUAUAAUUUCCAAACCCAGCCCAGGCUGUUUGGCACCCUAGGCCCUAGACAUUAUGUAAAGGGGGACCAGGGCUGGAGAGUUCCUUCUUUCUCAAGCUCUCUCGCUGACACCCCUGGCUUCAUCACUUUCCUUCCUUCAGACCUAGAGGACAGACAAGCAAAGCUUUAGGCAUGUGUCAUCGGGGCUAGAGAGCUCGAGAGACCUGGGCCCUGCCGGCUGUAAAAACGACCCUGAGAGACCUAUCUGGCAGAGAGCUCUGCUGUGUUUGGGGAUGGGGCCCGGGGUGGGGAGCAGCUUGAGUUUUCUUCUAGAAAGGCCCCCACAGGUGCCUGUCUCCGGAGGAUCCGGAAUCCAAAGGCAUCAAUGUCUCCCCUGGGGGUUCGGCCCCAGAGGCCUUGGACUGAGCUCAUAUUGUCUGCUCACAAUUACCUGCCACUGGGGCUGCUCGCUUUGGGCACAUCUUUGUGAUUUGACUGGAAGCACUUGUGCAGAACUCGCCCUUGAAGCAGGCAGAGGGGAGGCUCCAGCCAGUGAGUGUUUUAUGACGAGAUGCUGGAGGCUGAGACCUUCAGCAUUAACCACGAAGGUUCAGGCUUCCUUCUGAACCAAGUCAAGUUCACAGAAAAGACACAUAAGGCCCCAUAUCCCUAUGAUAUUUUGCUUUGGAAAGAGCAGGUCAUGAACAGAGAGAGGCGUGGGUAUGUGUGUGUGGGGUGCAGCAGCCCUGCGGGGCGGGGGCGGGGUCGGGGCUUCUCCAGGAGUCACUUCAUUUCGCCUCUACCUCCCCCUGUCCCAUUCCUGCCCCACCUUCAAUGGACAAAAAGCACCGCUGUCAAUGACUUGGGUCCCAGGGGUGCCCUGGCUGUGGAGGCCAUCCCAGAGUUGGGCGGCCAGAGAGCCAGAGCCAGGCAGGAAGAGGAAGGCCUGGCUAGCGAAAGCGAAGGCUGGCAGAGAUCCCGUUCUCCCUGGGGGAGCCAUAGACAUUGGCAUCAGGACAAAUGAUGCCGGGGAUCGGCUCUGAAAGACGGGGCCGAGCCCUUGCUCACCGGGCCGAGCCCUUGCUCACGGGGCUGCGGUAUUCACGGACUGAGCGGGUGCUCUUUGCUCCCGUCACCCUCAAGGCACAAAAGAGAGCAAUGAUGUGUCACGAGAUGGAGGCACUGAAAUUAGUUGCAGGGGAUCCCCCUGCACACCGCCGCCCACUUUUGCCAGAGUAUUUCUGGAUGGCAGGUGAAAACAUUCACGGAUUCAGUUUUACAGACAUUGUUCUUUGGUAACUCCCCCGCCCACCCUGCCACACACUUCCAAAGGAAAGUCCUCAAGCUUUUUAUAAAAUGGUAUUUAAUCCAUACCGCAUGCCUAGGAAACAAGCGCUUCAGUUUUUGAUUUGCUAAACCAAGCCCUGUUAAGGUUUAAGCCUUAAAAGCCGAAUCAGCCCUGCCACUCCUAAUGUCAGACUUUGUACUGAAGGGAUGAGCAGUUUGAAUUCCCAAGAGACACUUCUGAAAAAUUUCACAAGUGGGCAUGCCUGUUUAUGGAUGAGUGUGAAGCAUUAAGGAGGUUUUUUUUUUUUUUUCUUUCCUGGAGUGUCCAGAGGAUUCAUUUCAACUUAACAUCUGCAAGAAUGUGUAACAUUUAGAUGUAGAAGAGAAGUUUCACAGGAGACUUCAUUAGAUUACUAAAAUUUGUGCUGGGUCUUGGGUUGAAAACAUAUGAAGAGGUUUUGAAAGACGAUUGAGAAGGUGGUGGGGGGAGGGAUGUCAAGAGCAAGGGCCUGCAGCCUUCUAGAAGGCAUGGUUGGUCUGGGGCUCUGGCAGGAAAUGGAAGUCACAAUGCCCUUGGUAAUGGUCCCCUGAUCAAGGCUGAGUGUUUCUGGGGACAGUGUGGCCUGGGAGGGGUGUGGACGGAGGCCAAGGAUUCACCCCAAGCAUAGGGGUGGUGAGUGGGGCCAACUUCAGCCCUUUCACAUCAAAUGAAAGAGGGUGGGGGGAAGUGAAGGAGAUGAGAGGAAAGGCUGGGGAGAGACUCACCCCAAAAGGAGUAGGAGAAGGGAGGAAUUGAACAUGCAGCUGCAGAGGAAGGUUUCUGGGGUGCCCUUCACUGGAGGAAGGAUGCUCAAAGGGCCCCCAAGGAGGCAGGGAGACAGAAAAGACCCCGGCCAUUUGGGGCAUGGGUGACAACCUGUAGGAUUCUUACGGUCAGGGAUGGUCUGUGUUAUGAAAAGUGUUUUCUGGGUGGAAAAAAGGGGUUGAAAUCUGAAAGACGGGGUCCUCUAUCUGGAGGCAGGAGGCAGGUGGGCAGAAGCUGGUACCCCAGCCUGUUUGGGCUGUGCUGCCACCUGGCCAUUAUCCCAGGAUGCUGGGGACAGCAGCCCCUUCCCCCGGGAGCAGUCUCUGACCCUGGCUCCCUCCACCUCACUCCCAUGUCUCCGCAUUUGCCCCCCUCUCACCAGAGGUGCCGGGCACCGCAGGCUCAGACGUGGUUCACCCCUUACUUUUGUAAAUGAUGGGGAGAGCGGGGACAGAGCGGGAAGGUGCAGGGAAGACAGCCAUGGAGAGGGACACGCCGAGUCCUGUCCACAUCCGCCCGGCCUCUGGGACCCCAUGCUGGGAGCCGAGCCUCCCCCAAGAAGCCGCACAGGAGCCGGCCUCCUGCAGCUCCCGGGGCGAUGCAGCCCAUGCAGAAGGGCUUCUUGAAUCAGCUGAGAUUCCAUAUCCCUUUAAAGAAGCCUGGGGGACAAGGGUCACCCUGAGCAUCACAGCUGAGUCCAGCUCAUUUUGGAGUAACGCAGAGUGGGGCUAGUCCCCGUUUGGGAAGGAGAUGGGGCAGAGGAAUGGAGCACCACGGUCCCCUCAUGGGAAGAGCUAAGCCUUUUGCAGCCUCUGUGUUCUCUGGCUCCCAGUUUCUGGGGCUGAGAGCCUAGCCCAUGAAUGCUUGCACAGGCCCUGGACUGGGAUGGGCUAUGCAUGCCCCCGGCUGCUUUAGGGGACCUCAGAAUUCAGCUGUUCGUAGACUCACGAUGUCCCAAGGGGUCUGCUCCCUUAGGAUGUGGAAGCUUCUGGAAUAUGUAAGCUGGAGGUGGUGAGCCUUGUGCUUAGAGGAAGAAGAGCCAGGUGCAACUGGUUGGAUUUGUGGGUCAAUGAGGUGAGGCUGUCAGAAGCUUACUGUGAUGGGCAUGACCAUAUGAGGGGCUGGGCCGGGGGGCACUGGAGCGCCUAUCCUGAGACACUCUGGCAGGUGGUAGGGUGGGAAGGAUUUUUAUGGCGUCAGAGCCAACUGGUAAAUAGAAGCGAGCAGGAUGACCAGGGGCAGAUGUCCUAAAGGACUGAUGUUCUCAUCCACAAGCAGUCAUGUUUGCAUUUCUCAGAUUCUCUUUUCCAAACCAUUGGUAAUUCCCUCCAAUCUCUAAUCCAUUCAAGCUGUUUCCAUGGUGGCGGUCCUGUUGCUUGUUUUGCUCUCAAGGUGUCCAUUCUGUGCUAGGGGAGGCAUCUCUGUCUUCCAGGUGAAUUUCACCAGGAAUGUUUCAAGUUCUAAAUGGCCAAGUGGAAGUGUUAAUUUAGUAUCACACAUCCAAAUAGUAUUUGGAUGAGUUUCCAUCAUCAUCAUUGACUUCAUUACGUCUCCAAUUAUUCCUACUUCCUUUUUCUUUUCUGUUUUUUUUUUUUUUUGUGAUGAUUUUGAGAAUUUCUUUGCUUUCAGCAAACCCCUUCAGUUUGGAGAUGAGUAAACAAUCUAGUAUUUAACAUCUUUAUUUUUAAACUUACAGAGUGGAACUCAGUUAAUAUAUCAUCGACUGGUUUCACAAGCAUCUAGGAUGCCUUUUGGGGAGCAAAUUUAUCUUUAUUUUACUUUAUCUUUUCAAAUGUCAGUUCCAAGCCUUGUGGGGCCUAUGGUAUUUAGAGAAAGAAUAUUGGGAGAUGAACUGCAAGAUAGUUUCCUGUUUGCAUUCUAUCUCUUUCUCCCUUUGUGGCUUUUGAGAAGCCAUUUAAUUAUCCUAAGUCUUAGUUUUCCAUUUGCAAAACAAGAUAGCAAUCUACGUCUCCCACCUCAAUGUACAGAUUUAGUUUGGAGAAUUAUGAACACGUGUGCACAUAGACUCAACAAAACUGUGCCAAGGUCCCUCUGUCAUCACGGAAACCAUGACUUUGGUAAGCUUUUAUGCCUAAGAGGCCUGACUUUUUCUUUUGCUCGAUGCCAAAGGAAAGAGGAGACUCCCCAAUAGUAAUGAAUUAUGGUGCCCAAACCCCCUGUGGCUUGGUAUCAUCUAUGAAUACAUACACGCUCAUCUUCUCUUCUAAAGUGUACAUCAGACACUUCCUAACCUUCUUUAUUUGACUGUGGCUGUCGGUCUCAUCAUUGGCCGGCCGCCUGCGCUUUUGCCUUCAGCAUCAAGACCAGAACAAUUUAACAUGAACUCCAAAAACAAACACUGACCAUGACCUCCAAGAGCAUGCAUGGUCUGAUGAGUACCUGCCUCCCUGGCCUCAUUCCUCCUAGGUGUCUCUGAGCUCCUGACCCCGGGCCUACUGUUAAACCUAACAAGCUUCUUCCCUGCCCCUAGGCAUGGCUCUUGCACUUCCUUCUACCUAGAAAAUCAUUGUCCUCACUAGCCUAUCCAUUCCAAGUAGGUAAUUCUCAUUCAUCUUUCAUUUUCCAGCUCCAUCAUUCUUAGCGAAGCCCUAUACUUAAAUCAGGGCUCUACAUGCUCACAGUGCCAGGUGCAGCCCCUUUAAAGCCCCUGUCAUCACAGAGAAGGAUUUUAGAGUUACUUGUCAUCUCUUCAUCCUUCUUCUGUUCACGAUUAUAUUCCUAACCUCCACCACACAGUAGGUGCUCAAUAAGUAUUUGUUGAAUGAAUGAAUGAAUGGUUGAAUUAAUAGGCUUAGUAUUUGACACUUGAUGCUGGUUUGUGCCCAGAGAGAGGAUGCGUCUGGACUUGAUGUUGUCCUGGAUUCACGGUGAACACCCUUUGUGAAGCACAAGCUCUGAGACAGAAGGAGCCAUGACUCCUCCCUGUUGAGCAGAGUUUGGGAGGACUUUCCUCCAGGGUAGGCCCCUAAGCAGAGCCCCGAGUGAUCAGUUUGCCUGCUGGCCCAGUGGCCAUUUGGGGGUCCUUACUCCCUCAGUUGCCCUGGGCCUGCAGCCCUUCUCAGAUUCUUGCAGACCCCUCUGUCUGCAUUCUCACUCUCUCCUCUGUCUCUGGGAACCUUUUCUAGCCCCAUCUGCAAGGGACCUCUCCUUCUCUGAGCUCCUUUGAAAGGUAUCUAUGCCCUUUCCCUAGCUUGUGAAUCCCACCCUGCUCUGAGCCUUGGCUUCAACUGUUGCCUUCAACUGCCAUCAGAAUGUUCUCUCCUUAAAAUUCUCAGGGGGUGGCGCCCUGUUCUGCCAGCAGGUGGACGUCAAGACCUCAGGCGCAGGGCCCAAGGCUUUCAGCUUCUGAGAAGGCUGGGCCCUCAGCAUGUGGUGUCACCACAUUGCUGAGCAUGGCGACUGGGUUUGCUAACCAAAGGCUUACUCAGGUUUUCCAGGCACUCGGGGCCACCUGCUUGGCCUCUCUGCUGCAGUUUCACAGCCUUCCUGGACUCUCCCUGCCUUGGCUGAAGAGAACCCUCUUGUGGGUUCAUUGACAGGCCCAGCUGUGGGAAAGUGGGGGCCCCAAAGGACUUCCUGCCGCUUCACGUGACCCAGCCCUGCAGGCAACUCUGAUCUUCGCUGCAGGCCACUGCCUGAAAGCAUCUCAGCAGUCCUGCCCCAAGACUGCUCCCGCUUCUCCACUCUCAGGAUGGAGCCAGGCCUUGGAGGAGGAGGAGGAGGAGGAGGAGGAGGAGGAGAAAGAGGAGGAAGCCAGGCCUGCCCUGGGGCUCUAAGAGAGGAUGCAAAGGUCGGACCCCGGGGGCCAUGAUGGGCCUCCCCUUCCCUCCCUCGAGGGGGAAGGUCCCUAAGGAAGGAGCCUCCCAGAUCCCGGGGACCAGUGACAGCACAGCUCGCCAGCUAAAGCCGCCCCACCCCAGCCACGUAGAAGAACCUAUCAGCCUGCGACACCUCGGCCCGACGACCUAUCCAAACCCCCAUCCAUUAACCUGACCAUCCCUCACAACACACUUAAAUAAGCUGCUUUUAACAGGGCCCGGGCGCAGACUUCCUCGACCUGCCUUGUUUGGGUCCAGGAAUCCCACCCGGUAGCCCUUCGUCAUUAAAAAGCUUGUUAGACGUUUUUUUUUUAGUGUCCUGGUCGUCUUUUACCUAACAUUUGGCGCCCAGCGUGGGGCUCGAGGCGAGGGCCCAUCCCAUGACGAGCGGGGUUUGCCGCCCCCUCGGGUCUGGCCCGCGCCAGACCAGGUCACCCCGUCACGCCUCCCGGACCAUUCAACCGUCUGGCAGGACACAGGGUAAGUUCCAUUGGUUGGGCUCUGGGGUUUUUUGCUCCCAUGGCGAUUAUGCCUAGGGUGUCCUGGUUUCAGUAAAUCGCAGCCGCAUCUGGACCCCUCCUCCACAAGCCAGGCUUGCUAUUCCUUGCCACCUGUCAAUUUGGAGAUGUCCAUCUUGGCUGAGCAGCCUCCUUGCUGGGUUGACAGCCCGUUCAGGGACGCCUGACAGGACUACUCCCAGCCCCAUUAACGAUUGGUCCAGGACCUUCAUUUCAUAUUUGCCAUGGGGGCGGCUGCCUCCAAGCCUGACCGGCCCUGGUUUACGCCACUAGAAUGUGUACUUGCCAACCUCAGAACUCUACAUAUCUCCGGAGAAAUUCGUUCCAAACGCUUAACCUUCCUUUGUUCUGAGGCAUGGCCCCAAUAUUCUGUAGAUAACGGCUCACAAUGGCCGCCAACCGGAACUUUCGAUUUUGACAUCCUCCCUGACUUAGAUAAUUACUGCCGGAGGACGGGAAAAUGGUCUGAGGUGCCCUACACACAGGCUUUCUGGCUGUUGUGCUCCCGUCCCACCCUAUGAACCCGCUGUUCCCCUUCUGAAAUUCUCCUAACCAUGGCUCUCUCUAGCCCUGCAUCACCAGGGAGGCCAUCAGCGGCCCACCCAGGG